rnacentral:rRNA from 1 species
GAUGAACGCUGGCGGCGUGCCUAAUACAUGCAAGUAGAACGCUGAAGGCGGAGCUUGCUCUUCUGGAUGAGUUGCGAACGGGUGAGUAACGCGUAGGUAACCUGCCUGGUAGCGGGGGAUAACUAUUGGAAACGAUAGCUAAUACCGCAUGACAACAGUUAUUGCAUGAUAACUGUUUAAAAGGGGCAACUGCUCCACUACCAGAUGGACCUGCGUUGUAUUAGCUAGUUGGUGAGGUAACGGCUCACCAAGGCGACGAUACAUAGCCGACCUGAGAGGGUGAUCGGCCACACUGGGACUGAGACACGGCCCAGACUCCUACGGGAGGCAGCAGUAGGGAAACUUCGGCAAUGGACGGAAGUCUGACCGAGCAAAGCCGCGUGAGUGAAGAAGGGUUUCGGAUCGUAAAGCUCUGUUGCAAGAGAAGAACGAGUGUGAGAGUGGAAAGUUCACACUGUGACGGUAUCUUACCAGAAAGGGACGGCUAACUACGUG